rnacentral:rRNA from 1 species
CCUACGGGGGGCAGCAGUGAGGAAUAUUGGUCAAUGGCCGCAGGGCUGAACCAGCCAAGUCGCGUGAGGGAUGACGGUCCUAUGGAUUGUAAACCUCUUUUGUCAGGGAGCAAAGGGCGCCACGUGUGGCGUUUUGCGAGUACCUGAAGAAAAAGCAUCGGCUAACUCCGUGCCAGCAGCCGCGGUAAUACGGAGGAUGCGAGCGUUAUCCGGAUUUAUUGGGUUUAAAGGGUGCGCAGGCGGGAUGUCAAGUCAGCGGUAAAAUUGCGGGGCUCAACCCCGUCGUGCCGUUGAAACUGGCGUGCGUGAGGGAGGUGGAAGUAUGCGGAAUGCGGGGUGUAGCGGUGAAAUGCAUAGAUAUCACGCAGAACUCCGAUUGGGAAGGCAGCAUGCCGGGGCUCAACUGACGCUGAUGCACGAAAGCGUGGGUAUCGAACAGGAUUAGAUACCCGAGUAGUC